GCUGAUCCAGCAUCAAAAAGCCUAAAGUCUGAGUCCUGUACGGUUGUUCCAGCCGUUCUAACACAGAGAAAGAUAAACGUUAUUUUCCUGUUUCUAAGGUAGUCGGUCACAAGGGAGUUAAUUUAAAAAACAUUCAGGAAAAAGAGGAGAAAAGUGGAUCAACAAUCUACAGUUAAAAACAGGAGGUGUGAAAACUAACAACGCCAGUUUGCAGCGCCGAGUUUCUAACGGACGCAGUGAGGAAACAUGAAGCGGGCCGACAGCUGCUGGUGUCGGGGCUGCAGCAGCGUUUACCACCGCUCAUCUGAAGCUGCAGCAGCAGACAGGUGGAACGGUGAGCAGGACAGAAGGUGACACGCUGAUGGCUUUUCUAAACGACGAACUGAUGACGAUUUUACUUUGAUGCCAGAUGAAUGAGAACGCAAACGAAACAGAGCCAACAACAGGCUUCAUGGAAACAUCACAAUAAACAAACCGGUAAGGAAAGCAGCAGGAAGCCGCUUUGGAAAGUUCAAGAUGUUCAGACAUAAAUAGAAUAAUUACCUGGAUGACUAAUGAAAAUAACCAGAUAUUAGCAACAACGUGUGGGCUGCUACCCGUCAGAUCCAAAACAACCAGGCGGUUCUGAACCCUAACAAAAAAAUACAAAGAAAAAGAAACAAUUAUUGAGACGCUAAAUAUAAUAAACAUCAGGAUGUUCAGCCGUAAAAAGAGACGCAGGAGGUUCGACUUUCAGAUAACGAGAUCAGAGACUGAUGAGUGAUUAAUGAGCUUCUGCUUCUGCAGGACAACGUUUGAUUUUGGUCCAAAUCCAGACCAGAAUUAUUCAUACCUCGGAAGGUUUAAUCAGUCCUGAAAAACACAACCGGGAACAUGUUGAUCAAAUUAAAAGAAUAAAAACCCAUAACUUAACUUCACUGAGCCUGUGGAAAUAAAGUUUAUUACACAAACAGUUUGAAGUGAAGCGUUUCCUAUCAAACUGAGUCAUUCCCUGGAAACCGACUGUCAGGAUGAAAAGCCUGUUUAAACUGAUCAGCGUCACUUUUAAUGAUAAUUACCUGUUAUUAAAAACCUUUUAAAUAUCUGUAUCAGUUUAACUCCAGUUCGAAUAUUAAAUAAUGCAAUAAAUCAAAACAGAAAUCCAGAAACCUUUAAUAACCUUAAUUAAACGUAGAGAAAUAAACUGAGUGCGUUUGUUGAUUGACUUGUUUUGGAUUUUAUUUCAACCUAAAACCAGAAAUUAUGUGCAACAGUAGAAAUACUCCUACUAAUAUAAUAAUCUACUAAUACUUCUAACAUUUUACUUGAGUAAAAGUACAAAAGUAUUUGGUAAAAAGUCUAUUCAAGUACUGAGUAACUGAUCAAAUAAUAAAUCAUUUCAUGCUUAAAAAUUGCAUCAUCAGAUGAACCAAAAGGUAAAGUUCAGUGGAAAGUUUGGUAUUUUAAGAACCAAAAUGACAAUAAUUCAUAUAAAGAACAAAAAAUAACAAAAUAAAAUGUUUCCAAAUCAGUUUCUUUAAAUAAAAAACUUGUUAAACUUUAACAGAAGCUGUAGGUUUGAGUCUGUCUGGUGGAUUUUGGUUAAAAUAUGUUUGAUUUUCAUUAAGUGGGAAGAAAAUCCAGAAAUUUGACUGAAGAGUAGAGAUACAUUUUUCAAAUAAAGUUACUCAGCUAAAUGUUACCAAACUGAUGAGAAGUUUUAUUCUGACGAGGCUCCUGAAGGAAGUGUGACCGUAUUAAAGUUUUUCAGAAUAAAAGCUGCAUGUUUCUCGCUGUGAUCUGAGUGCGUCUGUAAAUCUUUCAGUGUUUGCGUUCCUGCAGCGUUCCAGCUGGACGUGGUGUUUCUGACUGAGCGCCGCGCCGCGCCGCAGGGCUUUCUGUCGGAGCGGAAACGCAGACGCUCACAGAGACAGCGAGGACGACUGCAGGGAAAAUCCUCUGAUAAUUACGCCGCCCUUCACCUCCUCCACUUAAGCUCAACAUGAUGGAGAUCAGAAUCAGCCCUGCUGCUCUGCAGGAAGCUUUCUCUCAGCUUAAUUAUGCUUAAGGAGUAAAUUAGUGCAGCAGUGACCCACGGCUGGAGGAAAACACCAAUAAAGCAGCUUUUAGGAUGUUUGACUUGUUUUUACUAAUCUGGGGGAAAUGCAGAAAUCCUCCAAAAAAGCCUAAAUUAAAGGAACCCAACCACAACAGAUUUAAUUUAUGAAGAAACUUUUUGUUUCUGCUCCUUUUGGUUCAUAAUAACAUCUAAUUUAUAAAAUCUCAGUGAAAUAAACUGAAGUUGAAAAAUUAAGAAAUGAGAAAUAAUUAUAACUUUAACGAGACACUAAUUAAACUCCAGCAUAGAUCAAUUUCUUUAGGAAGGGAAAGUUGUAGCUGAAAUAUAAAGACUUUAAAAUGUUUUAAUGCAGAAUCAGUAAAUCUGCAGGCAGGAAAAUUCAUGUUUUUUACGUCUUCAGUCUGUUUCUGUCAGCAACAUGGAGACGUUUCAUUCUUGUGUUUAAGAUCUAAAUGCAAAAUAUUUUAUUAUUGCUAUGAAUAAUAAUAAAAGUAUUAAUAAUUAACAUCCACUGUUGAUAAAGUGGACAGUUGUUAGUUUUUACCUUCCACUCAUCUCCUGGGACAUGUUACCGUAGCAACAGCGGGACACCGUUACCAUAGCAACUUCGAACAUUCAAAAUACAAAACCAUGUAGAAGUGAUCCAUUAAAUUACGACUCAACGUUCAAACUAUGAACGUUUCUUUGUGUUUUGGGAUGUAAUAAACUCGUCAGGUUAUUGAAAUAUGAAAUUUAAUUCAUUGAUUUUAAAUUUGGUAUUUUGAAAAAAACAAAAACAGCAAAUGUAAAAGUUUGCAAUUUUUUUAACAAAGAAAUAAAAUGAAAAGAAACAAAGACGCUCAUAUAAACUAAAUCCCUGAAGGGUGUUCAUUCAAACACCAAAUGUACAUUAAUAUGCAUAAAUAAACCUUAUUAGCUUAGCAUUACCGCUAACAUCUACAGUUUUCCUUAUCCCAGCCAAUCAGCAGCAGGUAAAACGAAUGGCGCUCUCGGAUUGGCUGCUUUCCUACCGCCAGCCAGCACAGCGUCAGGUUUAUUUUAUUUAAAAUAUUUUAGAUGAAAAAAUCUGUAAAUGUGAGAAUUUUCCACCAAUAAUUUGGAAUAUUGAAUCAAACAUUGUGUGAAUAUUUCAGCAGCAGUUUUAACUGGCUGGUUAGAAUAAAAAAGCUCUAAAUGAUUUACUAAAUAUUAAAUACUGUUGGUUCUUUCAGUUCAUUUCAGAACCAAACAGAACCAGGUAUUAAAACGUGGACAUAUUCAUGCAGGCUAUUGUUUCUAUCUGCUGAAUUUGGUUUUGCUCUGUUUAAAGUCAGCAGACGAUGCAGAAAUAAUCAGCAGUUUAUCAUCUCAGCUGUUUUCAAUCGGUCUGCUGCUUCAGUUCACAACGCUGAAAAUUCCCAAAUGAUGACGUAUCAGGAUUUCCCCGGAGAAAAUAGACAAUUAAUUAUAUCAAAAAUGUGAACAAAGGACUGACAUGUUGACUGUUUUCAAUACAAGACUCAGAUUAAAAACUCAAAUUAUUUUGACAGUUACUUUAGAGAGAGCAGCAAACAUGUUAAAACUCUUCAGAUUACAGGCAGAUGUCGACACGUUCGCUUCUGGAGGGAUUUCAACAUCGAUUACGUUCUGCAGGAUCCUCUCAAUCACGCCCACGUUCCUGUUGAGAGGCGUUUGUGCAGCUCUGCUCGCCGCGCCGCCGCCGCUGCAGAGGAGGUUUCACCUGAUCCCGGUUCAUCAAACAUCCAAAGCAUGCAACGUUUUUAACUUCAUGGCUGAAGCGUUAGCUUGUAUUUUUCUUUGAGGGGAUGAAGGCAGAUUGUUUUCUGUUCAGAGGUGAGAAAACAUGACGAGCUUUAAGUGGAUCGAACAGAAAAACCGGUUCUCUCUGCGCCUAACAAAGUUAUUUUAGGAGUCACAAUCAUUUACAGGGAUUUGAUGCUGCGGCACCAACACAGUUUCCUAAAAAGAGUUAAAGAUGUGUCACACAGCAGUCAGUUGUUAUAUUUAAAUAAAUCCAAUUUAACAGAAAA